CACUGUAGCACGGUUGACGCGGGCUGGACCUCUCGGGGUUACAGCCUUGCUGAAUUAUUCACCCUUGUCUUUUGCGUACUUCUUGUUUCCUUGGUGGGUUCGCCCACCACUAGGACAAACAUAAACCUUUUGUAAUUGCAAUCAGCGUCAGUAACAAAUUAAUAAUUACAACUUUCAACAACGGAUCUCUUGGUUCUGGCAUCGAUGAAGAACGCAGCGAAAUGCGAUAAGUAGUGUGAAUUGCAGAAUUCAGUGAAUCAUCGAAUCUUUGAACGCACAUUGCGCCCUUUGGUAUUCCAAAGGGCAUGCCUGUUCGAGCGUCAUUUGUACCCUCAAGCUUUGCUUGGUGUUGGGCGUCUUGUCUCUAGCUUUGCUGGAGACUCGCCUUAAAGUAAUUGGCAGCCGGCCUACUGGUUUCGGAGCGCAGCACAAGUCGCACUCUCUAUCAGCAAAGGUCUAGCAUCCACUAAGCCUUUUUUUCAACUUUUGACCUCGGAUCAGGUAGGGAUACCCGCUGAACUUAAGCAUAUCAAAAGCCGGGAGGAA
rnacentral:rRNA from 1 species